rnacentral:rRNA from 1 species
UACAGAGGGUGCAAGCGUUGUUCGGAAUUACUGGGCGUAAAGCGCGUGUAGGCGGCGUCGUUAGUCGGAUGUGAAAGCCCUCGGCUCAACCGAGGAAGUGCAUCCGAUACUGCGAUGCUUGAGUGUUUGGAGGGGGUGGCGGAAUUCCCGGUGUAGAGGUGAAAUUCGUAGAUAUCGGGAGGAACACCUGUGGCGAAGGCGGCCACCUGGACAACAACUGACGCUGAGACGCGAAAAGCGUGGGGAGCAAACAGG